rnacentral:rRNA from 1 species
UACGAAGGGGGCUAGCGUUGUUCGGAAUUACUGGGCGUAAAGCGCACGUAGGCGGAUACUUAAGUUAGGGGUGAAAUCCCAGAGCUCAACUCUGGAACUGCCUUUAAUACUGGGUAUCUCGAGUCCGGAAGAGGUGAGUGGAAUUCCAAGUGUAGAGGUGAAAUUCGUAGAUAUUCGGAGGAACACCAGUGGCGAAGGCGGCUCACUGGUCCGGUACUGACGCUGAGGUGCGAAAGCGUGGGGAGCGAACAGG